AGGGUGAGUAACACGUGAAUAAUCUGCCUAUGAAUUCGGGAUAACUCAGCGAAAGUUGUGCUAAUACCGAAUAAGACCACGUCUCUUAUGUGAUGUGGCCAAAGGAGUCUCAAACUCCGUUUAUAGAUGAGUUCGCGGACCAUUAGCUUGUUGGCGGGAUAAUAGCCCACCAAGGCUACGAUGGUUAGCCGGCCUGAGAGGGUGAUCGGCCACACUGGAACUGAGACACGGUCCAGACUCC
rnacentral:rRNA from 1 species